rnacentral:hammerhead_ribozyme from 1 species
GUACUCGUGAAGAGUCCCAAACUAGGACGAAACAGCUGUCCAGUAC